rnacentral:rRNA from 1 species
CAGCAGCCGCGGUAAUACGGAGGGUGCAAGCGUUAUCCGGAAUCACUGGGUUUAAAGGGUACGUAGGCGGUUAGUUAAGUCGGUAGUGAAAGACCGUUGCUCAACAACGGAUGUGCUACCGAUACUGGCUGACUUGAAACAGGUUAGAGUUGGCGGAAUGGGUCAUGUAGCGGUGAAAUGCUUAGAUAUGACUUGGAACACCGAAAGCGAAGGCAGCUGACUGAGCCUCGUUUGACGCUGAGGUACGAAAGUGUGGGUAGCGAACAGGAUUAGAUACCCUGGCAGUCCACACCCUAAACUAUGCAGACUGGAUGUUGGGCGGCAAUAGUUCAGCAUCUGAGGGAAACCAUUAAGUCUGCCACCUGGGGAGUACGCCCGCAAGGGUGAAACUCAAAGGAA